UACGUAGGGUGCAAGCGUUAGUCCGGAAUUAUUGGGCGUAAAGAGCUCGUAGGCGGUUUGUCACGUCUGCUGUGAAAACUGGAGGCUCAACCUCCAGCCUGCAGUGGGUACGGGCAGACUAGAGUGCGGUAGGGGAGAUUGGAAUUCCUGGUGUAGCGGUGGAAUGCGCAGAUAUCAGGAGGAACACCGGUGGCGAAGGCGGGUCUCUGGGCAGUAACUGACGCUGAGGAGCGAAAGCGUGGGGAGCGAACAGG
rnacentral:rRNA from 1 species